AAUAGAUACCCUGGUAGUCCACGCCGUAAACGAUGAGUGCUAAGUGUUAGAGGGUUUCCGCCCUCUAGUGCUGCAGCUAACGCAUUAAGCACUCCGCCUGGGGAGUACGGCCGCAAGGCUGAAACUCAAAGGAAUUGACGGGGGCCCGCACAAGCGGUGGAGCAUGUGGUUUAAUUCGAAGCAACGCGAAGAACCUUACCAGGUCUUGACAUCCUCUGCCAACCCUAGAGAUAGGGCGUUCCCCUUCGGGGGACAGAGUGACAGGUGGUGCAUGGUUGUCGUCAGCUCGUGUCGUGAGAUGUUGGGUUAAGUCCCGCAACGAGCGCAACCCUUGAUCUUAGUUGCCAGCAUUCAGUUGGGGCACUCUAAGGUGACUGCCGGUGACAAACCGGGAGGAAGGUGGGGAUGACGUCAAAUCAUCAUGCCCCUUAUGACCUGGGGCUACACACGUGCUACAAUGGAUGGUACAAAGAGCUGCGAACCCGCGAGGGUAAGCCAAUCUCAUAAAAGCCAUUCUCAGUUCGGAUUGGU
rnacentral:rRNA from 1 species